UUCGGUCGGUGAGUAUAGUGGCGGACGGGUGAGUAACACGUGGGUAAUUUACCCUUCGGUGGGGGAUAACAGUCCGAAAGGACUGCUAAUACCGCAUACGUCGGCGAGGUCCUCGGAUCUUGUCGGGAUAGCGUGCCUCUAUUUAUAAGCACGCGCCGAGGGAGGAGCCCGCGUCGCAUCAGCUAGUUGGUGAGGUAACGGCUCACCAAGGCAAAGACGCGUAGCUGGUCUGAGAGGAUGAUCAGCCACACUGGGACUGAGACACGGCCCAGACUCCUACGGGGGGCAGCAGUGGGGAAUAUUGGGCAAUGGGCGCAAGCCUGACCCAGCCACGCCGCGUGAGUGAUGAAGGCCUUCGGGUCGUAAAGCUCUGUGGGGAGGGACGAAGAAGGAGCAUCGAAUAGGUGCCUCCGGUGACGGUACCUCCUUAGCAAGCACCGGCUAACUCCGUGCCAGCAGCCGCGGUAAUACGGAGGGUGCAAACGUUGCUCGGAAUCAUUGGGCGUAAAGCGAGCGUAGGCGGUCUUAUAAGUCGGAUGUGAAAGCCCUCGGCUCAACCGAGGAAGUGCACCCGAAACUGCAAGACUUGAGUGUCGGAGAGGGUGACGGAAUUCCCGGUGUAGAGGUGAAAUUCGUAGAUAUCGGGAGGA
rnacentral:rRNA from 1 species